rnacentral:rRNA from 1 species
CCUACGGGUGGCAGCAGUGGGGAAUAUUGCACAAUGGGGGAAACCCUGAUGCAGCAACGCCGCGUGAGUGAGGAAGUAUUUCGGUAUGUAAAGCUCUAUCAGCAGGGAAUAGAAAAGAAGGUACCUGAAAAAGAAGCCCCGGCUAACUACGUGCCAGCAGCCGCGGUAAUACGUAGGGGGCAAGCGUUAUCCGGAUUUACUGGGUGUAAAGGGAGCGUAGACGGAAAGGCAAGUCAGAAGUGAAAACCCGGGGCCCAACCCCGGGACUGCUCUUGGAACUGCGUGGCUGGAGUGCAGGAGGGGCAGGCGGAAUUCCUGGUGUAGCGGUGAAAUGCGUAGAUAUCAGGAGGAACACCGGUGGCGAAGGCGGCCUGCUGGACUGCAACUGACGUUGAGGCCCGAAAGCGUGGGGAGCAAACAGGAUUAGAUACCCGGGUAGUC